GUGGAGUUGAGUUGAGUUAUGUUCUGAGCUCCUAGGAAGGAACACAGCAGGAGCUCUUGCUGCCUGAAGUCUGGUGGUAGUGACCUUGCCAAAUGGACAAAGAAGGGACCUGUGACUCUCUGAAGAUUCACUGGUAUACUUCGGCUUCAUCAAGCACCUGGAAAAAUGGUUUGUCUGGUCAAUCAGCUACUGUACAUCUCUGGAGAAGUGCAAAGAAGUUAGAGGCUACUAGCAAACUUGGCCCGUUGUUGAGAUAUCAAUAUGAGCUGAGGGGAAAGUUUCUACAGUUUAUCAACAUAUUGUCUUCUGGAAAGUUGGAAAAAUACCCUGCUACCUGUGCCAGAUCAACAAGAUAUUCACUGGAGCUGUGAUUACUUUCAUCAUAAUGAUUCUUCCUUGAUUGCUGAAAUGGACACAAAUUCGUUAAAUAUUUCAGUGAAUGAGAACUGCCUGAAAAUUUUCACCCAGCUUUAGUAAUCCUGAACUUGGAAACAAUCUGGCUCCAAAGCUAAACAUUGCUACUGAUCCAUAUCUCUUUAUGCUCGGCCAAGCCAAAACGCCAAGCUGCAGAAAGAUGCCAGAAGGAGGUUGAAGAUUUGACUCCUGAUUCUGUCUUGAUACAUGGCCCUGUAACAGUGGUUGAUAGAAUAGUUUCCUAAUUUGUCUUUUGUACUGCAACUCUGUGCAGGUGUCUGUACAUACUCUAACCUAUUUCUCAAUGGCUAAAGUCAACACUCCCUAUUUCGCUGCCAGUUGCAGUAUAGUUGUGUAAAGUAGCAGUAACUUCAAAGGAGUGACUCUGAAGUAAUGUUAUUGUAACCAGGUGCAGAGUUUAAUUUGUUUAUUCUUUA